AUGGCUGUCCUGGUGCUGCUCUUCUGCCUGGCGACCUUGCCAAGCAGUGUCCUGUACCAGGUGCAGCUGAAGGAAUCAGGACCUGGCCUGCUGCAGCCCUCACAGACCCUGUCUCUCACCUGCACUGUCUCUGGGUUCUCUCUAACUGACUGUGAUGUACACUGGGUCUGCCAGCCUCCAGGAAAGGGUCUGGACUGGCUGGGAGCAAUAUGGGCUGGUACAAACACAGAGUACAAUUCAGCUCUCCAAUCCCGAAUCAGCAUCACCAGGGACACCUCCAAGAGCCAAGUUUUCCUAAAACUGAACAAUCUGCAAACUGAGGACACAGCCAUGUAUUUUUGUGCCAGAACACAGUGA